GGACUACUCGGGUUUCUAAUCCCGUUCGCUCCCCACGCUUUCGUGCCUCAGUGUCAGAAAUGGUCCAGUAACCUGCCUACGCCAUUGGUGUUCCUUCUUAUAUCUACGGAUUUCACUCCUACACAAGAAAUUCCAGUUACCUCUACCACUCUCGAGUUAGUGAGUUUGAAUAAUAGUCUGUAUGGUUGAGCCACCAGGUUUCACUAUUCACUUUACUAACCACCUACGCAACUCUUUACGCCCAGUCACUCCGGAUAAUGCUUGCACCCUACGUAUGACCGCGGCUGCUGGCACGUAGUUAGCCGGUGCUUAUUCAUGAGUUACCGUCAUAUUCUUCACUCAUAAAAGCAGUUUACGACCCGAGGGCCUUCAUCCUGCACGCGGCGUUGCUCCAUCAGGC
rnacentral:misc_RNA from 1 species